rnacentral:rRNA from 1 species
GACGAACGCUGGCGGCGUGCUUAACACAUGCAAGUCGAACGGAAAGGCCCUGCUUUUGUGGGGUGCUCGAGUGGCGAACGGGUGAGUAACACGUGAGUAACCUGCCCUUGACUGUGUGAGAACUUCAGGGAACUGGGGCGAAUACCGGAUAGGAGCUCCUGCUGCAUGUGGGGGGUUGGAAAGUUUCGGCGGUUGGGGAUGGACUCGCUGGUUAUCCGCUUGUUGGUGGGGUAGUGGCUUACCACGGCUUUGAAGGGUAGCCGGCCUGAGAGGGUUACCGGCCUCAUUGGGCCUGAGAUACGGCGCAGACGCCUACGGGCGGCAGCAGUGGGGAAUAUUGCACAAUGGGCGGAAGCCUGAUACAGAGACGCCGCGUGCGGGAUGACGGCCUUCGGGUUGUAAACCGCUUUCGAAUGUGACGAAGCGUGCGUGACGGUAAUGGGUCAAGAAGCACCGGCUAACUACGUG